rnacentral:rRNA from 1 species
AAAGUCGUAACAAGGUUUCCGUAGGUGAACCUGCGGAAGGAUCAUUAUUGAAAUAAACCUGAUAAGUUGUUGCUGGUUCUCUAGGGAGCAUGUGCACACUUGUCAUCUUUGUAUCUCCACCUGUGCACCUUUUGUAGACCUUGGGUAUCUCUCUGAUUGCUUUAGCAACUCAGGAUUGAGGAUUGACUUUCUGUCUCUUCUUACAUUUCCAGGCCUAUGUUUUUCAAAUACCCUAAUGUAUGUUUAUAGAAUGUAAUCAAAUAGGCCUUUGUGCCAAUAAAUUGAUACAACUUUCAGCAACGGAUCUCUUGGCUCUCGCAUCGAUGAAGAACGCAGCGAAAUGCGAUAAGUAAUGUGAAUUGCAGAAUUCAGUGAAUCAUCGAAUCUUUGAACGCACCUUGCGCUCCUUGGUAUUCCGAGGAGCAUGCCUGUUUGAGUGUCAUUAAUAUAUCAACCUCUUUUUUUGUGGUUGGAUGUGGGUUUGCUGGCCACUUUGGAGGUCAGCUCUCCUUAAAUGCAUUAGCGGACAAUAUUUUGCCAAAUGUUUCAUUGGUGUGAUAAUUAUCUACACUAUUGACGUGAAGCAAGGUUCAGCUUCUAACAGUUCAUUGACUUGGACAAUUUUUUAUUUUAUUAAUGUGACCUCAAAUCAGGUAGGACUACCCGCUGAACUUAAGCAUAUCAAUAAGCGGAGGAAAAGAAACUAACAAGGAUUCCCCUAGUAACUGCGAGUGAAGCGGGAAAAGCUCAAAUUUAAAAUCUGGCAGUCUUUGGCUGUCCGAGUUGUAAUCUAGAGAAGCAU